AACCUUUACAAUGCACGCAAGUGUGAUAAGGGGAUCCUAAGUGCUCAUACAUUGUAUGGGCUUUUGUUAAGAGUAAAUAUCUUAGCGAAUAAGUGGUGGGUAAGACUGGUGCCAGCCGCCGCGGUAACACCAGCGCCACAAGUGGCAACCACGUUUAUUGGGCCUAAAGCGUCCGUAGCCGGUUUGGUAAAUCUCUUGUGAAAUCGACAAGCUCAACUUGUCGGCGUGCUUGAGACACUACCAAACUCGAGACCGGGAGGAGUCAGAGGUAUUCCAGGGGGAGCGGUAAAAUGUGAUAAUCCUUGGAGGACCAUCUAUGGCGAAGGCAUCUGACCAGAACGGAUCUGACGGUGAGGGACGAAGGCUAGGGGAGCGAUCCGGAUUAGAUACCCGAGUAGUCCUAGCAGUAAACGCUGUGAGCAAGAUGUUACGCAUCUCUUGAGGAUGCGUAGUGUCGAAAUGAAGAUGUUAAGCUCACCGCCUGGGAAGUACGGUCGCAAGACUGAAACUUUAAGGAAUUGGCGGGGGAGCAC
rnacentral:rRNA from 1 species